AGACGUAGGGGGCGAGCGUUGCUCGGAUUCACUGGGCAUAAAGGUCGCGUAGGCGGUCCGCCAAGCGGAAUGUGAAAUCCCGGGGCUCAACCCCGGAACUGCGUUCCGAACUUGCGGACUAGAGGAUAGGAGGGGGAAGUGGAACUCUAGGUGGAGCGGUGAAAUGCGUAGAUAUCUAGAGGAACACCGGUGGCGAAAGCGACUUCCUGGCCUGUCCCUGACGCUGAGGCGCGAAAGCGUGGGUAGCGAACAGGAUUAGAUACCCUAGUAGUCC
rnacentral:rRNA from 1 species